UCAAUUUCUCCAGAAAUCAUUCAGAAGGCAGGAUCACAGGAUUGAUGUAAAAUCUUUUUCCGAUGAAAGUUUGAACACAUGCUGGUGAUCCAAUCACACAGACCUCGAGAUGAAUGUGUCUUCAGCUAGGAUCAGGUCUAUCAAUUCGUCAGUAGUCUAGGACACUUUCACCAAAGGGUAGACCUGAUGAAUGGAAAGGGUCUCAUAAACAAAUGCCACACCAACACAUGUAGCUUGAAUUUUGUUGAAGAAACAAUCUAGCUAUAAACUGGGCAUGCAGCUUGGGGCAGGGGAAAGGAGAUGAUCAAGAGGGACCCCUGAACUAGCAUGGAUCUACGUGACAGUCCAUAGAUGUCAAUGGGCUGCAUCACUCUUCCAUUGAGCUUUCCUCUCCUCCCAUUCAUAACAAUAAAGGCAACAUGAGCAAUGCGAAAUCUUCAGUUUGCUCCCAAAAUUCCUUUUCCUUUCUCGAGUUAGAUAUUUUCAUAGAUAUAUCAACACUAUUUUGUUAUAUUGCUUUUGAUGGAGCCAUAAAUUUUCUCUAAAAUAAGGUUAAAUGUCUUAUUAUUUCAUUUUUUUUCCUGUCUAUGCAGUUAACUCCUUGGCCAGUCAUUAUUUACAAAAUAUCAAAAGUUGAUGGUAUGAGGAAUUCCAAGUGGACUUGCUCAUGUGGGGUAGUUGUAGGUUGUUUGCAGCACACAUGCUAAUUUAGGAUGUGUUAUAGACAUGGGCAUUCAUCUGGGGUUUCUAUAUCAAGCUGGGCUAGCCUUACAUCGGAGAGCGAGAGGGGAAACAUUCGUGGACCUCUGCAGAGAACAUUUCCCUGCAAACCAAAAAAUAGCAAGAAGUUUAUCACUCCUUUGUUGUAUUUAUGCCAGGAAAAAUAAGACUAGGUUCCCCUGUUUUCAAUGCAAGAAGCGCACUAGUUCCCCUGGUACUGUUGUGGUUCUCAUCAUCUUUUCUACAAUGCGUUUCAACAUUAGAUUUUAAUCUUACGUUUUUUAUUUCAUUAAUCUUUUCUUAAUUCACAUCUAAGACAUCUAUGACAAAAACUGACAUUUCUUUUCUUGUAUUUUUGUUCUUUAUGAGGAUACUUAGUUUCCCAAAAUGUGUUUUGGUUGGAUUUGUGAGCCUUUGCAUCUUUUAGAUUCUCCUAAUCCAAAAUGGAAAUCGAUCUAUGUAUACAAUGCUAUGCAUCAUUCCUUCCCAUCAAGGCUAUAGGAUCUAGUAGUUUUGAUUUUAUUAGUACCUCAAACAGUAAUAUUAGUAGAAAUACUUCUGAAAAUGUUCAGCAAUGUCUACAGGGAUAUCCCUAUCUGCCGUUACUUAAUCAUCGCAAUGUAAGGGAGAUUAAGUGAAUAUCGCAACUUUCUGAUGGCUCACUGAGAUGCUGCAUACUUCGUAGAAGUUUCAGAUACAAUUCGAAUAUCAUUCUCGAAUCCACCUAUUGAUGACCUAGCUACAAUUUCGUCCCUUCCAACAAAGACCAUUCUAUGAACGGAUUCGGCUAAACUUCCAUCCAAUACAAUAGCUUGGAUUACAGAAGCCAGACCUGGUACCUCUUAUCCCUUCUAUCUUCAAGUAUUUGAAGGGGGAUACAAGUCCAAGUAAAGGUUUUCUUUGCAAUUGAGGGUCUGUGGUCCAUUCAAGGAUCCACCAAAGCCGCGUUCACAUAGAAUGAGAUUUUGUAAAGAUCACCAGGUCAAGUCAAUACAUGAGAAAAUCACCAGCAGCUUCCUUAAGUAAAAAAAAAAAUUACACAUAUCAAGCAAUUAGGGCAUCUACAUAGUGGCCCACCAGACUAAAAAUUCUAAUCGUCAUAUAUGUGCCACAUUUAAGACAAUUAGCCAUUUAUGCUAAAGAGAGUUGGGCCAUGGCCCAGCACCUGAGAUGAACCAUACAUGUCUAUGGUGGUACCUCAAAUUGUGUCCCUCACCGAACUCAUGGCAAGAAAGCCUAAUCAGAUGGCCCCCAUCGACUAAUCAGUUGCGAUCAAGAUCGCACACGGCUAUGGUGGAGAUUGGAUUGAACACAAUUUGAGGAAGAGCUUCCUUGAAAUGUAAACCUGAUUGAUGGAGUUGAUGAAAGAUAUACCGCAUGGUGGCCCACAAACAAACCUAUAUUUGGUUGACAUGCCAUUUACAUUAUUUCAUGUGAUGUGGACCAUUUGAUUUGUGGAUCUAGUUGAUUUUUUUAAUCUCAAGACCUAACAUCAAGUAUAAAAUUUGAUUAGCAGAGUGAAUUUUGUAAUUAAAACAUGGUGG